UACGAAGGGGGGCUAGCGUUGUUCGGAAUUACUGGGCGUAAAGCGCGCGCAGGCGGUCCUUUAAGUCGGGGGUGAAAGCCCAGAGCUCAACUCUGGAACUGCCUUCGAAAACUAGAGGACUUGGGGUACGGGGAGAGGUGAGUGGAAUUCCGAGUGUAGAGGUGAAAUGCGCAGAUAUCGGGAGGAACACCAAUGGCGAAGGCAGCUUGCUGGGACGGUACUGACGCUGAGACGGCGAAAAGCGUGGGGAGCAAACAGG
rnacentral:rRNA from 1 species